rnacentral:tRNA from 1 species
GGGGUUGUAGCUCAGUGGUAGAGCACAUGCAUUGCAUGUGUGAGGCACUGGGUUCGAUCCUCAGUACCA